rnacentral:lncRNA from 1 species
UCAGUCUCAAAAACCUUAAAGAUCGUCUCUCUUAGCCUCAACCUAGAACACAUCGUCCUCACCAUCGAUGGACUCUUUCGGCUAGCUCUGGUGACAGACGGUAACUGUUGGCAAUUGACGACCAGUUUCGGCUAACUUACGAGCAAUAUCUGAGGUAUGCUAUCAAUUUUUUCCGUGUUUGACGUUUGUAUAACUAUUCCAUUUUUUCUUUCUUUUUUCCCACAUGUUUUCUUUAAUUUGGUGUUUGAAUUUUUUCUCCUUAAGAAUAGGAGCGCUUUUGGCCUCAGCUGCAUCGUUAUUUCGACUCCAAUGGCAUUGUUGUUGUUGUUAUUUGAAGGUCUUUGAUUCUGCUUUGUUUGUAUUACAUUUACAUUUGUGAUUCUAGUUUGAAAAAUUGGGGGAUUUAUUUGUUAGGUUUUGAUUUUCUAUUUGAAACCAUGAGAUUUUCUUUAUUUGAUGUUUGCUAUCGAUGUUCGCUUUCUUGGUUAUUCGGAGAAAUUGUUUCGCUGCUCCUUUUUACUUUCUAUGGUAAUAUUUUGGGGUCUUUUUCAUUUCUCGGGUAAUUUUUUCUUUCGUUGCUCCUUUCCUUUCUCCUUCUUUCUUUCUCUAGUAAUAUUCAGAAAAAUCGUUUGUCUACCCCAAUUUCUCUGGUAAUAUUUUCUUUGUUCGAUGCUUGCUAUCAAUAUUCGAUCUUCGCUGUGAUUUCUAGUUUGUAAAAUUGGGGGAUUUAUUUGUUAGGUUUUGAUGUUCUGUUUGAAACAAUGAGAUUUUUGUUCCAUGUUUGCUAUCGAUGUUCGGUCUUCCCUAUUCGCUUUCUUGGUAAUUCAAAAAAAUCUUUUUGUUGUUCCUUUUUUCUUUCUCUGGUAAUAUUUUUUAUAAACACAUUCUUUUACUUCUGUCCGAUUAUGCUUGUGUUGCUUUCACUUAAAAUUAUGAGAUUCGUUCGUGUAUGUACUUUAUCUAAUAGGUAAGUGUUUGCCUUCACGUCUAUUUGACAUUGGGGUUAUUCUUCUUAGACAAAUUGCUUGCCUUUAUUAUGUUUAAGGAUAUUUUAGUUUAUAACUUUUUGUAUGCAACUCGUCUAUUUUAACUUUUGAACUGUUUGACUAAACAUUGUAUCCAUAUUUUGUUUUUGUAAAUGGAUAAUGCUAGUUGGAUAUGGUAUAAGCAAUUUCAUAGAAUAGGAAACUAUUUCUAAUUUUGCUUUCAUAAAUAUCAGAAAUUAUAAUUUGUUGCAAUAGAGAAUAUAACCAUUCCAAUAGACCUAGAAAAAAACAAGAGAAGUCCCUAAUAACUGUUCCAGUAUGCUAUAAUAUCCGUUGCAAUAGAGUACUGAUAAUUGUUCCAAUAUAUCAUGAAAAUCGUUGCAAUAUAUUAUGAAAACUGUUGCAACAGCCUUAAAGAAAUAAGCUAUAUUAGUUUUCCAUAACUGUUUAUAACCGUCCCAGUAGGAAAUAAAUCGUUCCUGUAGAUAGAGCAUGGUAGCAAUCCAAAACUGUUACAAUAUCCCUAUCUAUGGAGACGGUUUAUGAACCGUUGCAAAUAACUGUCUCAAUAGACCUAUUGUAAUGCUAGAUCUCAGAACGGGUUGACUUCCGUCCCAAUAUCCCUAUAAGGACGGUUAAGAGAUUUAUAGCAACGAUUUUCGAAGGGUUGCCAUAGCUUCAAUUUCUAGUAGUGUACGGCCCGUGCAAAAAUUCCUAAACAAAAGUAAAUACAAACCAAGACUACAUGAUCGCAGCGGAUUCAACCAAUGGAAGAGCGGGUGCUAAUAAUUUUACCCAAUAGUGGUAUCGGGGUCAAUUUUCCACAUGGAGCUUCAAUUGGAUUUGAGUGUUAUUAUGGUCUAGGACUGCGUUUUAGCUCCUAAUUGAUCUUCUAACAUUUUUUGUUUUCUUUUGAUUAUCAACUACAAUUUAUCAACUACAAAUUUAAAGCUAAGUUAUGCUAAGAUAUUCAUUCUAUGUUGUAUGCAAUAUAGAGAAAGACAUUAGGGUCGUGGCAUGUACCUAGGUCGUCAACUAACAGGUAGAGAUUCCUAAUGCAAGAAUGAUGACUACAGGAAUUAUGCUAUAAACGUUGCACUUUUGCACCCACUCUCACACCUCUCGGUAGAGAGAGUGAUUUUGCACAAUUGAAUCUCUCGAGACCAAUUUGCCCAAGAAACUUAGAGUUCAAGUUGGGUAAUUACUCUCUCGAGGUUUGACCCGUUAAUUGGGACUACCAUUUUCAUGGGUCCAUCCCAAUUCCUUGUUAGAAUUAAUCUUGGGGUCAUAGACUCUCUUUCUCAAGAAGAGUCAAGACCCACUAAGAUGGACUUAGUGUUUUCAACCACCAAAUCUUAAUGAAAACAUAAGAUUAACCCAAAUAACAAAUAUCCAACAUCAUCACUAAGCUAGACUUAGUGAUUGCAACCACCGAAUCUUAAUGAAAACAUAAGAUUAACCCAAAUAACAAAUACUGAUGAGGCCAAUGUGCAUAGGAUUUUCUUGCUCGUGCUUUGUAAAAUUCUAGUAUAAUUUAUGAUAUCGUCCCACAGAGAUUUGAACAUCUAUGCUACAAACUUUUAAUAUUUCAACUACUACUUGAGAGAAUCAGAUUGAUGAAAAGUUUGUGGAAUUAAAACUUUUUAAAUACUUAACAAAAUUAAACAACUUUCGAAAGAUUUACAAUUUAAAAGAGUCAGGAAUCGUUGAAUUCACUUGAUAAUAUAUUACAAAAAAAUCUCAAUUUUUACAUGUAUUUCUCUAAAAAAACAAUUGCUUAUUGUUAACACAAUUAUAUCUAGCUCACUAAGAAGUAGUCAAUUAAUAACACUCCGUGAGGUUAUGUGAUUAAUUAAGUUAAAACUAGUGACGAUUAAACCGAAAUAUUUUUUUUUCUUGAAUUGUGCUAAAAGGUAGUAAAAACUUGUGAGAUUAUUUUUACUAAAAUAUUAAUAGUCUUGCCAACAACAAUUCCUCCGUGGGAAUUAAAACUAAGGCAAGAAAGAUUACCGCCUUUUAAUAAUAGCUUACUAAUAAUUGCUCUUACUUAACUAUUUUAUUCAAUAGUUACUAUAUAUUAAUUUUGCUCCGUGAGAAUUACAAAAUUAAUAUGNNNNNNNNNNNNNNNNNNNNNNNNNNNNNNNNNNNNNNNNNNNNNNNNNNNNNNNNNNNNNNNNNNNNNNNNNNNNNNNNNNNNNNNNNNNNNNNNNNNNNNNNNNNNNNNNNNNNNNNUCCAACAAAGAAGAUUACUCCAUUAUGAAGUAAGAAAAACUAAUUUAGGAAUAAAGAACUUAUGAAGAAAUAUUAUUCCUCUAAAAGAAAGACAACUAGUAGCAAAAACUAAAGACAAAGAGAGACGAAAAAUAGUUUUCUCUCGUAAGACUUGAUAUAUUUCUUCCAACAAGACUUGAUAUUUCUUUCCAACAUGCACUCUCUAUUUAUAGAUUUUUUUUGGCCCAAGAAUUUUCCAUAGUUGCAACUAUAGAAAUUGUACUUGCAACUUUGACAUUGCCAAAUGUGUUUUAUUCUACGGAGGAAGAACCAUAGUCUCAAUUAUACUUUGCUAGUUGCAACUAUAGGAAUUGUAGUUGCAACUAUGAGUCUUGAAGUUAUGACUUCAAAAUUUGAUUCACACUUGUUUACCACGUGCAUUUCUCUUUUUCCUCCUUGUUUUUCUUGUAGUACUCUUUCCUCAAUUCAACUUUACUCUGUAGAAAUUGUCAGAAAAUAUAGGAGAAUCGAAUAUAUCUAUUCAUGUUUUAUUUAAAAUAUUUAAUAUUUACAUAUAAAAAUAUAUGAAUAAAUUACAUCCAUCAUAAACCGGCUCAUGACUCGCGAGGCCUGGUAACCUAGGCUCUAAUACCAACUUGCUAUUAAAAUAUAUGAAUAAAUUACAUCCAUCAAAUACCCAACAUCAUUCAUGCAUUAAACAUUCACACCCAUUAAUUACCCACACUAGGGUUGAGCCAACCCUAGCUAAUGGGUUUAGCUAGACAUGGAAGAAACAGAAAUUGAAGAAAUAGUAGAUAAAUUCGACAUAUUAAUUAAUUAUGAUUUUAAUCUACUCAAAUCCACGUUAAUACAAGAUGAAAAUUGCCCAAAAUAGGCUAAAACAAGUCACGAGCUCAGCUGCUAUAUGAUAUCUAAUUCAUAACCCAAAAAAGUAAAAUAUUCUAUUUAUACUACAUGGGAAAAAUUGGACAAAAAUGUCCUUACGGGUCUGGCGCGGCCACGUAGGGAUCUUUGGUCUUCAUAUCUUACUUCUGAAACUGGGGGCGCGGACUGUGCACAAAGGUCGCGCGGCCCGUUGGCUGAGAGGCUCGGACUACGUAAGCGGUUAGGCAACCUUCCAUUGCUGCGGCUGGCUAUUCCCUAUUAGCUGUUUCAAUAACCAUCUUUUGAUUAAUGGGGCAUGGCCGUGUGGAAAACUUGACAAAAGUCCACACUCUCUGGACUUCAUUAACGUGGACCGCACUAUUUUGGUGUGCGGCUGCGUGAGCUUUUGUAUUGAAUUACUGAGUCUCUGAACUGCUCUUGGCACGGACCGUGCAUGUAGCAUGGAAAUUACACCUUCUCUAAACUUUUUUUGCGCGCCCGCGUGGUAAAUCAGUGCGGACCGCGCAAGUCAACAUGGUCUUAGGCACAGUCUCUGAACUCUUUUGCGCAGUCGCGUGGCACAUCAGUGCGGACCGCGCAAGGAUGUUGUUCCCCACUUCACUAGUCUUUUGAUACUUGGUAGAUUUCACUCCUUUUUGAGUUGAUCUUUGACCUUUGUCAUCUUGUCGCUCAAACCUGCAAUUAAGCGCAACUUUUAAGCCUUUUGGGACUAAUUUAUGGCAAUUCACACACAAAGCUUAGGCAAAAAUAGGUAUAAAAACAUGUAAAAAUCAUAGUUAUCAACUCCUCCAAACUUAAACAUUUGCUUUUCCUCAAGCAAAUAAAAUAAUACCUACCCCUCAAAGGAAAACACUCAAGUAAUUCCUGUUUAUCCUAAAGUAGCCUCAACAAGCAUCAAUUGGGACUAACAAUUGACCUCAAUGCAAAUGCAUCAUUAAUACAUUUAACCUUGAAAACUUGUGGAUCAAGUUUGACAUAAGAGCAUCAAGAGUUGACACAUAUUCAUCAAAGAACUUUUCUCAAUUAAUUUUUUCAAGGCCCACAUAGCCUUAUAUUCCAAUUCUAUCGGAAGAUGAAAAGCCUUCCAAAACACCAACCGAUACGGCGACAUAUCAAUCGAAGUCUUGAAAGCUGUACUUUAAGCCCAAAGAGCAUCAUCCAAUUUCUUCGACCAGUCGGUCCUAUUUGGAUUAGCAGUCUUGGACAAAAUACUCUUGAUCUCUCUGUUAGAAACCUCAACUUGGCCACUCUCUUGAGGAUGAUAAGGAGUGGUAACCUUGUGAUUACCCCAUACUUGGCAAGCAAAGAAUCGAAAGCCCGGUUGCAAAAAUGAGAACCCACAUCACUAAUGACAUGACGUGGAGUGCCAAACCUAGUGAAGAUACAUUUUUUCAAGAAUUCCACCACACUUCGAGCUUCGUUGUUGGGAAAAGCAAUGGCCUCAGCACAUUUCUACACAUAAUCAACCGCUACCAAGAUAUAGGUGUUGCCACAAGAACUCACGAAUGGCCCAGUCAAAAAUGUCAACCUCUAGAAUUGUGUUAAGGGGCAUCUCAUCUUUCUUAGAAAUCCCUCUAGUACGUUGGCAUCCAUCACAUAUCUCGAAAAAGUCACCGGCAUCCUUAAACAAAGAAGGCCAAUAGAAUCCACAACCCAGCACUUUAGACACCGUCCUCGCCCCGCCAUGAUGGCCACCAUAGGGCGAAGAGUGACAAGCUUCUACAAUACUUUACUUUCUUCGGGAAUACACCGGCGAAUUACACCAUCGGUGCAAAUUUUGAAAAGAUAUAACGCAUCCCAAUAGUAUUCCAAACAAUCCCGCUUGAGCUUCUUCCUUUGGUUAGAAUAGAGCUCAUACGGGACCACACCAAUAACAAGAUAGUUGGCAAUGUUUGCAAACCACGGCGUGUCUAACAUUGAAACCGAGAGGAGUUGUUCAUCCAGAAAAUAUCAUUUAUCUCAAGGCCAUCUGAAGGCCUCCCUUCCUGCUCCAAUCGAGACAAGUAGUCCGCCACUUGGUUUUCACUACCCUUUCUAUCAACAAUAUCCAAAUCUGAUUCUUGAAGAAGAAGCACCCAUCUCAUUAAUCUCGUCUUUGGAUCUUUCUUGGUCAUCUAGUACCUAAGGGCGGCACGAUCGGUAUGGAUAAUCACUUUGGCCCCCAUAAGGUAUGGGCGAAACUUCUCCAUGGAAAAAACAAUUGCAAGCAAUUCCUUCUUGAUUACCGUGUAGUUCCUUUGAGCUUCAUUUAUUGUCUUACUUGAAUAGUACACCUGAUGGAACAUUUUGUUGAUUCUUGGCCCAAGAUCGCCCCAACCGCAACAUCACUAGCGUCGCACAUGAGCUCAGAGGGAAAGCUCCAAUUUGGUACGGUAAUGAUGUGGGUAGUCGUCAACUUUGUUUUAGAAGCUCGAAAGCCUCCAUACAUAUCUCAUCAAACACAUAUUUGGUAUCUUUCUAUAGCAAUUUACAAAACGGGUUAACUACCUUAGAAAAGUCUUUGAUGAAUCUUCGGUAGAAACUCGGGUGUCCAAGAAAACUCCUCACCCCUUUGACAGAAGUAGGGGGAGGGAGCCUUGAGAUCACCUCUUGCAUCUUUCUCUAGCAAUUUACACAACGGGUUAACUACCUUUGAAAAGUCUUUGAUGAAUCUUCGGUAGAAACCCGCAUGUCCAAGAAAACUCCUCACCCCUUUGACAGAAGUAGGGGGAGGCAGCCUUGAUAUCACCUCAAUUUUCGCAUUAUCAACCUCAAUCCCUAUUUUCGAAAUCUUGUGACCCAACACAAUUCCUUCUUCUACCAUGAAAUGGCAUUUCUCCCAAUUGAGAACCANNNNNNNNNNNNNNNNNNNNNNNNNNNNNNNNNNNNNNNNNNNNNNNNNNNNNNNNNNNNNNNNNNNNNNNNNNNNNNNNNNNNNNNNNNNNNNNNNNNNNNNNNNNNUUGUGUCUUCACAUCGGGCCAACACACGAUCCAAGUUUUGCAAGCAUUCACCAAAUGAGUCCCCAACCACACUAAAAUCAUCCAUGAAGACCUCAAAUAUUUCCUCCACCAUGUCGGUGAAGAUUGCCAUUAUACAUCGUUGGAAGGUCGCCGGCUGCAUUACAUAAUCCAAAUGGCAUUCGAGAGAAAAAGAAUGUGCCAUAAGGACUUGGGAAGGUUGUCUUUUCUUGGUCUUCUGGGGUAAUGAGAAUUUGGUUAUAGCCUGAAUACCGAUCCAAAAAACAAUAGAAUUCCUGGCCCGCAAGACGAUCAAGCAUUUGGUCAAUGGCAAUGGGAAAUGAUCCUUUCUAGUCACCUUGUUCAGCUUUCAGUAGUCCAUACAUACUCCCCAACCCAUCAUAGUACGAGUCAUAAUAAGUUCAUUGCUGUCGUUGGUCACCGCCGUCAUUCCUCCCUUCUUCGGCACAAUUGUACCAGAGAAGUCCACAAACUGUCAGAAGUAAAAAGUGAAAUUUGGACUGAGAAAUUCAUACCUGAGAUGAGGAGGAAGUGGUUUCAAUUCCAACACCGGUGGCUUCUCAAUAGAUGGCUUGGUGGGUAGAGUUUUGCGAUUUUCAAGAUCAAUAGAUAACUUCCUCGGCUCAUAAGAAUAUGAGCCCAUGCCAUGUAAUGCGUUCACAUACUCCACCCUUGCGGUAUAAUCAUCAACAUCUAUGUUCAAGAGCACGGCCUCAAGUGGGUCCUCAACAUUUUCCAUUGCGCUUGUGUCAUCCACUAUCAUCGUCGUGACAAUGUCAACAAACGAGCACACUUCGGUGCUAUUUGGUUGCCUCAUAUAUUUGCACACAUGGAAAAUCGACUUUUUAUCAACCACACAGAAGGUCAAUUCUCCCGCUUCAACAUCCACCAAGGCCUUCCCCAUAGCUAGGAAAGGCCUCCCGAGAAUAAUAGGCACCUCGAAAUCCACUUCACAAUCCAAGAUCACGAAGUCGUCCGGCAAUAUGAGCUUAUCAACAUGAACAAGGACAUUAUCAAUAAUCCCCAAAGGCCGCUACAUUGAUCGGUACGCAAUUUGAAGCCUCAUAGAAGUUGGAUGAGGUUGUCCGAUUCCCAAGGUUUUGAAGACCGAAUAUGGCAUGAGAUUGAUACUUGCCCCCAAAUCAUAUAGGGCUUUUGUGAAAUCGGCACUUCCAAUGGUACAUGGUAUUGUGAAUGCUCCGGUAUCCUCUAGCUUUGGAGUCAUGGAGUGCACAAUGGAACUCACUUGGUGCGUCAUCUUAAUUAUCUCGCACUCCAUAGAUCUCUAUUUAGUAACCAAAUCGUUCAUGAACUUUGCAUAUCCGGGCAUUUGUUCAAGUGCCUCAACCAAGGGAAAAUUUAUAGUCAAACUCUUCAUCAUCUCAAUGAACUUUUUAAACUGGUUGUCACGUUUUUACUUGGCCAACCUUUGAGGAUAUGGCGGAGGAGGCCUAGGCAAGGGUGCCUUGGCUUUUGGCACCACCGGCUCGGGCAUAUCAAUGACGUGUUCCCUAUAUGGGUUCACGACCUCUUGAAUCUCCUCCUCACCCUCAUCAAUUUCAAUUCUCACGUCAUCACUUGCAUUUGGUUCAACAAUAUCCUCAACUACCAACAUGAUCUCAUCAUUUUGCAACUCUUCUUCAUCAACAACAACUCGAUUACCUCUUGAGGUUUGCACAUCGACGCCUCUUUCGCUUCUUGUCGUCACCGCCACCACAUGAUUAUUAUGCCCACCCUUGGGGUUCACUACAAUAUCACUUGGUAGAGCAACCUUUGGGCGAGUGUUGAGAUAUUGCGAAAUUUGCCCGAGUUGAACUUCCAAGUUAUGAAUGGAAGUGUUAUGGGAGGUCAAUUGAGCAUCAGAGUCAUGAUUUGUAACGAUCUGACCCGUUGUACCGUGAAUUACCGCCCCAUUUUUAAUGUUUUAUGCUGUUACAUGUUUUAAUAUAUGUAUUUGGAGAGUUUGAAGUAAUUCGGAUGGAGUUUGGAUAGAAAUGAGACAAUUAGUCUCUUUUUGAGAAGGUUAGUUUGGAAAAGUCAACUGAACAUUGACUUAGGAGUUAGAGGGCUCGGAAUGGAUUUCUGAUGUUCUGACUAGUUUCGGAUGGUGAUUUGUGACUUAGAUGCAAAAUCAGAACUGAAUUUGGAGGUUCGGUGUAGAAUUAGGCUUACAUUGGCUAAAUUAGAAUUUUAGCGAAGUCCGGUUGAUAGGCGAGAUUUUGAUCCGGGGGUCGGGAUGGAAUUUCGAUAGUUGCUGUAGCUCCGUUAGGUAAUUUUGGAUAUGCGUGCAAAGUUUUAGAUCAUUUGAAGGUGUUUAGGUCGGGUUUUGGAUCAAAUGAAGGUUUUGGAAGUUUUAGUUUAACUUGGGCUUGAAUCUGUGGAAAUUGGAUGAUUUUGAUGUUUACGAUAGUGUUUUUAUGUUAUGAGCAAGUUUGAAUGAAGAAAUGGAACAUAUUUGUGCUUUUGGUUGAGGUCCCGAGGGCCUCGGGGUGAUUUCGGAUGACUAACGGGAAUUUUUGAAGUUAAAUAGCGCAGUUGAAAAUUGCAGCAUACUUUUGUUCUAUGCGAUCGCAUAAACAUCAAUGCGAUCGCAUAGAGGAAUGAAGGGGGCUCAGAAUUUGGUCUAUGCGAUCGCGUAAGAGGGGAUGCAAUCGCAUAUGUUGGGAAGGCUGUUCUAUGCGAUCGCAUAGGCUUGAGUGCGAUCGCAUAAGAGGAAAUGAAGGCUGUCAGAAAUUGUUCUAUGCGAUCUCAAUAAGGGUGAUGCGAUCGCAUAGAGUAAAUCACUGGGCGGACGGAAUGUUUUAAGGGUUAUUUCACCCGCGACUUAAACUUAUUUUCCUCCAUUGUUGAGCAACCAAAGGAGCAAUUUGAGCAAUUUGAAGUUUGUUUUCAGCGGGUAUCGAUUGGAGGUAAGUCUCUUGACUUAAAAAUGCCAUUUUUAGGAAGAAUCAACCCUUAAUUCCAUGAAAUUGUGUAGAAAUUGUGAAGAGCUAGGGCUUAGUUUUUAGAAACGAAUUUCGAGGAUUUGAAUGGUCAAACGAACUCCGUUUUGGAUAAAUUUUAUAUGAACGGACUCGUGGAGAGACGGGGAAUCCAAAGAUACAAUUUUUAGAAUUUUCUGAGAUGUGGGCCUGGGGCUCGGUUUAACCAUCUUCGUGAUUUUUAGAGUUUUUCAAAUUAUUUCAAUUGGGUUACGUUUAUUUAGCCUAUAAUAACCUAUUCGUUAUGGUUGUGACUAGAUUCGACGCUCGUAGAGGGAGAUUCGAAGGGAAAGGACAUUGUAGACCAGUCUACGACCGGUUAGAGGUGAGUAGUUUGUAUAGAUGAUGGCCUAAGGGUUUGAAACCCCGGUUUAACAUAUAGUGACGUUAUGUUAGGGCGUGACUCGCACCCCAUGGAAGGUGCGGGGUUUUAAAUGAUUGAGGAUUGUGACUUGGUCCAUCCGAGAGCUGAAUAUAAAUUAUUAGCUUCUAAUACGCACAUUGUGUUGUUGAUAAAUGGGCGCAAUGCCAUGUUUAGGGCCGUGUGCCAAUCUAUAGUACCCGUCUAGGGUGAAUAUCUGUGUGAUAACAUGAUUUGCAUAAUCAUUGAUCUCAUUCAUAUGCUUAAUCACUGUCAUUAAUUGCUAAGUCACCUUAUUUCUGAAAUUGUCUAAUUAAAUUAUAUUCACCUUUAUAAUUGACAACUAGCAAAGAAUCAGAUUGAAUCUGUUAUGUGACUUACAUGCAUACUGUAAACUGAGGAUGGCUAGGGUUGCACGCCGCAUCGUUUUCAUGUGCAUUGCAUUGCAUUCUUAUCUGAUACUUGAUUGUUAUAAUUGAUAUUGUUUUGUUGUUAGUUCGUAGCUAAGGAAUAUGACUAUUAGCUUUAGCUCUGCUUUGUGGCAUUUCGUGGAUUUCUUACUUUUAGAUAUUUUUCUAUGCUUAUUAUUCACUGAGUCGGUAGUACUCACCGCUACUCCCUGCACCUUGUGUGCAGAUUCAGGUACACCGGAGGCUUAAAUGAUACUCAUAGUCUCCAGAUCUUUCCAGAGUCGUUGAGGUAGCUGCAUGACAUUCGCAAGACCUGGCUGCUCUUUUUUUUUCAAUUUACUAUUUUUACAUACAUUUCUAGCUUUUAUUAUUUCCAUUCAGAUAUUAUUAUCCAGUUUUGUUUAGAGGCUCUAGACUCGUGACCCCAGAUCUUAUGGGUGUUUAUCGGGUUUCCGUAUUUGUCAUUAUUACUCUAUUAAUAUUUUCGGAUUAGUAUCCUUAAAUUGUCGGUUUUGAGACAUAAAUAUUAAAUUGGAAACGAUUGGUUGUCGGGCUUACCUGGCUUUAGGGUUUGGAUCGUGACAAGUAGGUAUCAGAGCCUAGGUUACUAGGCCUCACGAAUCAUGAGCCGAUUUAGUAGAGUCUUGUUUAUGGGUGUGUCGUGCACCACACUUAUAAGCAGGANNNNNNNNNNNNNNNNNNNNNNNNNNNNNNNNNNNNNNNNNNNNNNNNNNNNNNNNNNNNNNNNNNNNNNNNNGUAUAAGCAGGAGGCUACAGAACUUUUAGGAAACACCUCACUUUCUUGAAAUUCAUAUCGUGCGGCUUUGUUAACGUGAAAGCUAAAUUUCUGUAUUCUAUUCUCUCGUAGAUGGCGAGAACCCGUGCUAAUGGACAUGGCAGACGACCCCCAGUACCACCCGCUAGAGGCCGUGAAUGUGAUCGUGGUGAUGGACAAGGCGGACUAGCAGGGGCAGCACCUACAGACCCACUAGCUGCCUAGGUCCAGGAUCAGCCUACAGCUGUAGAUGCUCUAGCAACACCUAUUCAGGCAACGGUAGUGCCCACCGUGAUUCCUGGUCUUCAGGAGGCUUUGGUUUAGAUUUUGUCCGUCUGCACUGGCCUGGCUCAGGCGGUUUCAGCCACUACAGCAGCGGCUACUUNNNNNNNNNNNNNNNNNNNNNNNNNNNNNNNNNNNNNNNNNNNNNNNNNNNNNNNNNNNNNNNNNNNGGUUUCAGCCACUACAGCAGCGGCUACUUCUCAGACCGGGGGUGGUCAUCAGACCCCCGAUGCUCGCACUCCCGAGCAGGGUGUUUAGGGCUUACAGACACCUGAGGUAGCUCCAAUUAAGCCAGUUCUACAAGUUCAGCCAGUUUCUCCAGUUCAGCCAGUUCCACCGGUUUUUCCAGUUGCGUCGGUCGCACCUACUCCAGCUCAUGUGGUUCCAGCUAUGCCGAAUGACGAGCAGCGUCGUUUGUAGAGGUUCGAUAGGCUCCAGCCUCGGACUUUUACUGAUGCUUAGGGCGAGGAUGCCCAAGGUUUUCUGGAUAAAUGCCAGCAUUUGCUUUGUACUGCAGGUAUUCUGGAGUCUAAUGGAGUGGAUUUUACCAUCUUCUAGUUCACAGGAGCUGUAUUUACUUGGUGGGAAGAUUUCGAUAGGCGUAGGCCUAUUGGGGCAUCGCCCCUCACUUGAUAGCAGAUCUCCAUGGUAUUUUUGGAGAAGUAUGUGCCCCAAUCUCACAGGGAGGAGUUGCGUCAUCAGUUCGAGUGGUUGACUCAAGGAGAUAUGUCAGUGACUCAAUAUGAGUUGCGGUUUACACAGCUGGCUAGGCAUGCCAUGUGUAUGAUCCCGACAGAUAGAGAGAGGAUCAGGAGGUUUAUAGGUGGCCUCAACUAUCUGAUCCGUAUAUAAUGACUAGAGAGAGAAAUACAGUAGCUACAUUUGAGGAGGUUGUUGAUGUGGCUCGACUGAUUGAGACAGACCGCCGUCGGGAGCCUGUGGAGCGGGAGGGCAAGAGGCCUCGAGGCUCAGGUAACUUCAGCGGUGCUCCGUCUAGGGGCCAUUUCUAGCAGGGUAGAGGUCGUUCCUUCAGGCCUCCUCAAUCCAGGCGCAUAGAGUCCAGUGGAUCCUCUUCAGGCCGGGGCCAUCAAGGUCAUCAGCACAGUCAGCCUGCAUAGAGUGCUCUUCCAGCUCAGAGCUCUGCUCCUGCUCCUUCUGCUCAGGGUUCAUCUGCAGCGAGGGGUUCCCAUCAAUCCCCUUCUCCAGCUUCAAUUAAUUGCUAUGAUUGCGGUAAAUUGGGUCACAUGAAGAGACGGUGUCCUCUGACCCACGGUAGGCAGUUUCAGCAGAGGGAUCAACCCUCAUGUUCUUCUUAGGUUUCUUCAGCUCCCACUCAGUCAGUGAGGGGUGGAGGUCAGGUAGCUAGAGGUCGCUCCAGGGGUGAGGACCGUACUGGUGGUGGCCAAGCUUGUUUCAUUGCCCUUCCAGAUAAGAGGGAUGCUAUUGCCUCCGAUGCAGUUAUCACAGGUAUUAUCUCAGUCUGCCACAGGAAUGCUUCUAUUUUAUUUGAUCCCGGAUCUACUUAUUCAUAUGUAUCCUCCUAUUUUGCUCAUCCUGUGCACGUAUCUACCCCGGUGGGUGAUACUAUUAUUGUGGAUCAUAUGUAUCGAUCAUGUUUGGUAACGAUUGGGUGUUUGGAGACCUGAGUUGACCUGAUAUUAUUAGGCAUGGUAGAUUUCGAUGUGAUACUGGGUAUGGAUUGGCUAUCUCUGUACCAUGCUAUCUUGGACUGUCGUGCUAAGACAGCUACGCUAGCUAUUCCGGGUACUCCGAGGAUCGAGUGGCGAGGCGUUACCGAUAUGUACCCAGUAGGGUGAUUUUCUUCCUAAAAGCCCAACAGAUGGUUAAAAAGGGUUGUCUAUCGUAUUUGGCUUUCGUGAGGGAUGUGGAAGCUGAGACUCCUAGCCUUGAUUCAGUUCCCGUUGUUAGGGAUAUCCCUGACAUGUUUCCAGCGGACUUGCCAGGCAUGAUGCCGGAUAGGGACAUUGAUUUCGGUAUUGAUCUGGUGCCGGGCACUCAGCCUAUCUCUAUUCCUCUCUAUCUUAUGGCCUCAAUGGAGCUAAAGGAGUUAAAAUGAACAGCUUUAGGAACUCCUAGAUAAGGGAUUCAUUCGCCCGAAUGUGUCUCCUUGGGGUGCACGAGUAUUAUUUGAAAAGAAGAAAGAUGGCACAAUGAUAAUGUCCAUUGACUACAGGCAGUUGAAUAAGGUGACAGUCAAAAACAAGUACCCACCACCCCGUAUUGAGGAUUUAUUUGAUCAGCUUCAGGGAGCAAGGGUAUUCUCUUAGAUUGACCUUCGAUCAGGCUAUCCCCAGCUAAAUAUUAGGGAUUCAGACAUUAUGAAGACAUCUUUCAGGACAAGAUAUGGGCACUACGAGUUUCUAGUGAUAUCUUUCAGGCUGACUAAUGCCCCAUCCACAUUCAUGCACUUGAUGAAUAGUGUAUUUCAGCCUUAUCUGGAUUCUUUUGUGAUUGUGUUUAUUGAUGAUAUUUUGGUGUAUUCUAGUAGUCAGGAGGAGCAUGCGCAAGACUUGAGGGUGGUCUUGCUAAGAUUGAGAGAGGAGAAACUAUAUGCAAAGUUCUCCAAGUGUGAAUUCUAGCUUAAUACUGUGACUUUUCUAGGACACGUGGUGUCUACUGAUGGUAUUCAGGUUGACCCAAAGAAGAUUGAGGUGGUUCAAAGUUGGCCCAGACCGUCCUCAGCUACUGAGAUUCGGAGUUUCCUCGGUUUAGCGGGUUAUUGCCGCAGAUUCGUUCAGGGUUUUUCAUCUAUUGCUUUGCCUUUGAUGAAGUUGACUCAGAAGAAUGCUCCAUUUGUGUGGUUAGAUGAAUGCGAGGAGAGCUUCCAGAAUCUCAAUUCGGCAUUGACCACAGCACCGGUAUUAGUAUUACCAUCAGCUUCGGGUUCUUACAUGGUGUAUUGUGAUGCUUCGAGAGUUGGGAUCAGUUGUGUGUUGAUGCAGGAGGGUAGAGUUAUUGCUUAUGCUUCUCGUCAGCAAAAGCCCCAUGAGAAUAACUAUCAUGGUACUGACUUAGAGUUAGCUGCAAUUUUUCAUGCCUUGAAGAUUUGGAGGCAUUAUCUUUAUGGUGUAUCUUGUAAGGUAUAUUCGGAUCAUUGCAGUCUUCAACACUUAUUUAAACAGAAAGAUCUUAAUUUGACACGGGGGAUAUGGCUUGAGUUACUCAAAGACUAUGAUAUUACCAUUCUGUAUCAUCCCGGCAAGGCCAAUGUAGUGGGCAAUGCUUUGAGCCGGAAGGUUAUCAGCAUCGGUAGUCUGGCGUACAUUCCAGUUGUGGAGAGGCCCCUUGCGGUUGAUGUUCAAGACUGUGCAAAUCAGAUGGUGAGGUUAGAUAUUUGCGAGCCCAGUCAGGUAUUGGCGAGUGUGGUUUCCCGGUCUUCCUUGUAUGACCGCAUCAGAGAGCGGCAGUAUGAUGACCCGUAUUUUCUUGUCCUGAAGGACAGGGUCCAUCAUGAUGAUGCCAGAAAUAUGACAAUUGGAGACGAUGGUGUAUUGCAUAUGCAAGGCCGGAUUUGCCUGCCCAAUGUGGAUGGUCUCCGGGAGUUGAUAUUAGAGGAGGCUCACAACUCGCAGUCUUUGAUUUAUCUGGGUGCCGCGAAGAUGUACCAGGAUUUGAGACACCAUUACUCGUGGAGGAGAAUGAAAAAGGAUAUUGUCAAUUACGUGGCUUGGUGUAUAUACUGUCAGCAAGUCAAAUACGAGAAUCGGAGACCCAGUGGUGUACUCCAGCGGAUGAAUAUUCCGAAGUGGAAAUGGGAGAACAUUACUAUGGAUUUUGUGAGUGGUCUUCCUCCUACCUCAAAGAAUUUUGAUUCGAUUUGGGUGAUUGCGGAUAGGCUGAUCAAGUCUGCACACUUCAUCCCUGUAUAUACUACCUAUUCUGCGGAGAAGUUAGCAGAGAUUUUUAUUCGGAAGAUUGUACGGUUGCAUGGGGUCCCAGUUUCCAUUGUAUCAGAUAGGGGUACCGUGUUACUUCCCAGUUCUAGAGGACUUUUCAUCGGAAGUUGGGCACACAGGUACAGUUGAGCACAACAUUUCAUCCACAGAAGGAUGGGCAGUUCGAGUGUACUAUCCAAAUAUUGGAGGACAUGUUGUGUGCCUGUGCUAUUGAUUUUGGAGGUUCUUGGGCUGAAUUCUUGCCACUUGCGGAGUUUGCANNNNNNNNNNNNNNNNNNNNNNNNNNNNNNNNNNNNNNNNNNNNNNNNNNNNNNNNNNNNNNNNNNNNNNNNNNNNNNNNNNNNNNNNNNNNNNNNNNNNNNNNNNNNNNNNNNNNNNNNNNNNNNNNNNNNNNNNNNNNNNNNNNNNNNNNNNNNNNAAAGGCACUUGCAGGACCAUUGGUUGAUUUGAGCCCGGAGAGGCUAGAUUAUUGGGGACAGAGUUAGCUCAGGAUGCCUUAGAGAAGGUGAAAGUGAUACAGGAGAGACUUCGUACAUCUUAGUCGCGUCAGAAGAGUUAUGCGGACCGAAAGGUGCGAGAUGUAUCUUAUGCAGUGGGCGAGAAGGUCUUGUUGAAGGUUUCGCCUAUGAAAGGCGUUNNNNNNNNNNNNNNNNNNNNNNNNNNNNNNNNNNNNNNNNNNNNNNNNNNNNNNNNNNNNNNNNNNNNNGUCUUGUUGAAGGUUUUGCCUAUGAAAGGCGUUAUGAGGUUUGGGCAGAAAGGGAAACUGAGUCCAAGGUUGAUUAGACCUUUUGAAAUACUUAGGAGGAUUGGGGAGGUGGCAUAUAUGCUCGCGUUGCCGCCUAGCUUGUCGGGAGUUCACCCGGUUUUUCAUGUUUCCAUGCUCCGGAAGUAUGUUGAGGACCUGUCUCAUGUGUUAGACUUCAGCACGAUCCAGUUUGAUGAAGACUUGACCUAUGAUGUGGAGCUGGUGGCCAUUUUGGGUCGCCAGAUUUGGAAGCUGAGAUUCUAAGGACAUAGCGUAGGUGAAGGUGUAGUGGAGAGGUUAGCCCGUGGAGGAAGCCACUUGGGAGACCGAUUAGGAGAUGCGGAGCAAAUAUCCUCACUUGUUUGAUACUCCAGGUAUGUUUCCUGACCCGCUCGAGGACGAGCGUUUGUUUAAGUUGGGGAGGAUGUAACGACCUGACCCGUCGUCCCAUGAAUUACCGCCCCGUUUUUCCCAUUUUACGUUGUUACAUGUUUCAAUAUACGUAUUUGGAGAGUUUGAAGUAAUUCGAAUGGAGUUUUAAUAGAAAUGAGACAAUUAGUCUCUUUAUGAGAAGGUUAGUUUGGAAAAGUCAAUUGAACAUUGACUAAAAAGUUAGAGGACUCGGAGUGGAUUUUCGAUGUUUUGACUAGUUUCGGAUGGUGAUUUGUGACUUAUCGAAAUCAGAACUGAAUUAGAGGUCUGGUGUAGAAUUAGGCUUAAAUUGGCUAAGUUAGAAUUUUGACGAACUCCGGUUGAUAGGCGAGAUUUUGAUCCAGGGGUCGAAAUGGAAUUCCGACAGUUGCAGUAGCUCCGUUAGGUGAUUUCGGAUAUGCGUGAAAAUUUUCAGAUCAUUUGAAGGUGUUUAGGUUGGGUUUUGGAUCAAAUGCAAGUUUCGGAAGUUUUAGUUUAACUUAGGCUUGAAUCUAUGGAAAUUGGAUGAUUUUGAUGUUUAUGAUAGUGUCUUUAUGUUACGAGCAAGUUUGAAUGAAGUAGUGGAACAUAUCUGUGCUUUUUGUUGAGGUCCCGAGGGCCUCGGGGUUAUUUCGGAUGGCUAACGAGAAUUUUUGAAGUUAAAUAGUGCAUCAGAAAAUUGCAGCAGACUUUUGUUGCGAUCGCAUAAACAUCAUUGCGAUCGCAUAGAGGAAUGAACGGGACUCAGAAUUUGGUCUAUGCGAUUGCGUAAGAGGGGAUGCAAUCGCAUAAGUUGGGAAGGAUGUUCUAUGCGAUCGCAUAAGAGGACAUGAAGGCUAUCAGAAAUUGUUCUAUGCGAUUGCAAUAAGGGUGAUGUGAUCGCAUAGAGUAAAUCACUGGGCGGACAGAAUGUUUUUAAGGGUUAUUUCACCCGCGACAUAAACAUAUUUUCCUCCAUUGUUGAGCAACCAAAGGAGCUAUUUGAGGGAUUUGAAGUGUGUUUUCAGGGAGUAUCGAUUGGAGGUAAGUCUCUUGACUUAAAAACGCCAUUAUUAGGAAGAAUCAACCCUUAAUUCCAUGAAAUUGUGUAGAAAUUGUGAAGAACUAUGGCUUAGUUUUUAGAAACAAAUUUCUGGGAUUUUAAGGGUCAAACAAACUCUGUUUUGGAUAAAUUUUAUAUGAAUGAACUUGUGGCGAGAGGAAUCCAAAGAUGUAAUUUUCAAAAAAUUUCGAGAAGUGGGCCCGGGGCUCGGGUUUUACCAACUUCGUGACUUUUAGUGUUUUUCAAAUUAUUUAGAUUGGUUUAUGUUUAUUUAGCCUAUAAUAACCUAUUUGUUGUGGUUUUGACUAGAUUUGAUGCUCGUAGAGGCAGAUUCGAAGGGAAAAGGCAUUGCAGACCAAUCUACGACCAGUUAGAGGUUAGUAGUUUGUAUAGAUGAUGGCCUAAGGGUUUGAAACCCCGGUUUAUAAUAUAGUGACGUUAUGCUAGGGCGUGACUCGCACCCCAUGGAAGGUGCGGGGUUUUAAAUGAUUGGGGAUUGUGACUUGGUCCAUCCGAGAGCUGAAUAUAAAUUAUUAGCUUCUAAUACGCACAUUGUGUUGUUGAUAAAUGGGCGCAAUGCCAUGUUUAGGGCCGUGUGCCAAUCUAUAGUACCCGUCUAGGGUGAAUAUCUGUGUGAUAACAUGAUUUGCAUAAUCAUUGAUCUCAUUCAUAUGCUUAAUCACUGUCAUUAAUUGCUAAGUCACCUUAUUUCUGAAAUUGUCUAAUUAAAUUAUAUUCACCUUUAUAAUUGACAACUAGCAAAGAAUCAGAUUGAAUCUGUUAUGUGACUUACAUGCAUACUGUAGACUGAGGAUGGCUAGGGCUGCACGCCGUAGCGUAUUCAUGUGCAUUGCAUUGCAUUCUUAUCAUAUACUUGACUGCUAUAAUUGAUAUUGUUUUGUUGUUAAUUCGUAGCAAAGGAAUAGGAUUGUUAGCUUUAGCUCUGCUUUGUGGCAUUUCGUGGAUUUCUUACUGUCAGACAUUUUUCUAUGCUUAUUAUUCACUGAGUCGGUAGUACUCACCCCUACUCCCUGCACCUUGUGUACAGAUUCAGGUACACUGGAGGCUUAGCUGAUACUCAUAGUCUCCAGAUCUUUCCAGAGUCGUUGAGGUAGCUGCAUGACGUUCGCAGGACCUGGCUGCUCUUCCUUUUUUUUCAGUUUACUAUUUUUACUUACAUUCAAGAUUUUAUUAUUUCCAUUCAGAUAAUAUUAUCCAGUUUUGUUUAGAGGCUCUAGACUCG